rnacentral:rRNA from 1 species
UACGUAGGGGGCAAGCGUUGUCCGGAAUUAUUGGGCGUAAAGCGCGCGCAGGCGGCCCCGUAAGUCCGCUGUGAAAGUCAAAGGCUCAACCUUUGAAAGCCGGUGGAUACUGUGGGGCUAGAGUCCGGAAGAGGCGAGUGGAAUUCCUGGUGUAGCGGUGGAAUGCGCAGAUAUCAGGAGGAACACCAAUAGCGAAGGCAGCUCGCUGGGACGGUACUGACGCUAAGGCGCGAAAGCGUGGGGAGCGAACAGG